rnacentral:rRNA from 1 species
AUUGAACGCUGGCGGCAUGCCUAACACAUGCAAGUCGAACGGCAGCACAGAGGAGCUUGCUCCUUGGGUGGCGAGUGGCGGACGGGUGAGGAAUACAUCGGAAUCUGCCUAUUUGUGGGGGAUAACGUAGGGAAACUUACGCUAAUACCGCAUACGACCUACGGGUGAAAGCGGAGGACCUUCGGGCUUCGCGCAGAUAGAUGAGCCGAUGUCGGAUUAGCUAGUUGGCGGGGUAAAGGCCCACCAAGGCGACGAUCCGUAGCUGGUCUGAGAGGAUGGUCAGCCACACUGGAACUGAGACACGGGCCAGACUCCUACGGGAGGCAGCAGUGGGGAAUAUUGGACAAUGGGCGCAAGCCUGAUCCAGCCAUGCCGCGUGGGUGAAGAAGGCCUUCGGGUUGUAAAGCCCUUUUGUUGGGAAAGAAAAGCAGUCGGUUAAUACCCGAUUGUUCUGACGGUACCCAAAGAAUAAGCACCGGCUAACUUCGUGCCAGCAGCCGCCGUAACAC